GUCCACGCUCAGUUAGGGCAGCAGGAGGCAUCACGACAGUCCACAUCUAAAGUCUAACAUGGCGGGACGCUCUAAGGCUUUACAGCUUCUUAAAUCUCUAUCUUCGGCCUCAUGCCAGUGUCCAGCUCAUUCUGCAGGCUGGACUCACGCCACACACUCCACCCAGGCCACAGAGACUACUGAUUAUGCCUUUGAGAUGGCAUGUUCAACUGUUCGUUAUGGACCGGGGGUAACUAAAGAGGUCGGGCAAGACAUACAAGCCCUGGGUGCCAAAAAGGUACUGGUGAUGACGGAUAAGACCUUAGUAGGAAUGACACCAGUGUCUGCUGUGGUUGAAUCACUCAACAAACAUAAGAUCAACUUCUCUGUUUUUGACAGAGUUCGCAUUGAACCCACAGAUGUCAGCUUCAAGGAUGCAGUGGACUUUGCCAAGGCUGGAGGUUUUGAUGCAUACAUUGCUGUGGGUGGAGGGUCUGUCAUAGACACGUGCAAGGCUGCUAACCUAUAUGCAUCGGACCCCCAAGCUGACUUUUUGGACUAUGUCAAUCCUCCUAUUGGAAAGGGGAAGCCUGUUACAGUCAAGCUCUCUCCACUGAUUGCUGUUCCUACGACUGCUGGCACUGGAAGUGAAACGACAGGAGUGGCAAUAUUUGACUAUGAGCCCUUGAAGGCUAAGACGGGCAUUGCCAGCCGUGCUCUACGCCCCACCCUUGGCAUCAUUGACCCACUGCACACACUCCUGAUGCCAGAAAGAGUUGCAGCCUACAGUGGAUUUGAUGUGUUGUGCCAUGCUUUGGAGUCGUACACAGCAUUACCCUACUAUGACAGGUCUCCUUGCCCAGAGAACCCAAUAUUGCGCCCAGCAUACCAAGGUUCCAACCCAAUAUCUGAUGUGUGGGCUGUUCAUGCUCUAGGUGUAGUGGCAAAGUAUUUCAAGAGGUCAGUGUAUAACUCAGAUGAUGUGGAAGCUCGCUCCAAGAUGCACCUAGCUAGUGCUUUCGCUGGCAUUGGCUUUGGCAAUGCUGGGGUUCACCUCUGUCAUGGAAUGUCAUACCCAAUAUCUGGCAAUGUUAGAAAAUUCCACCCUGAACAGUAUGAAUGUGACCAUGCUAUCAUCCCCCAUGGACUGUCAGUGGUGAUGACUGCUCCAGCAGUGUUUGCUUUCACGGGCCCUAUGUGUCCUGAACGUCACUUGGAGGCUGCACACAUUCUUGGGAAAGAUAUCACUAGAGUGAAGAGAGAGGAUGCAGGCUUGGCUUUGGCUGAUGUCCUGCUAGGUUACAUGGAUGACAUGAAGGUGGAGAAUGGUCUUGAAGCUCUUGGGUUCACAUCGGAAGAUAUCCCUGCACUGGUGAAGGGAACACUGCCUCAACACCGUGUGACUAAACUGGCACCGCGGGAACAGAGUGAGGAAGACCUGGCAAUCCUUUUUGAAAACUCCCUCCGCAUUUAUUAAGGAUUGCUUUAUAACUCAACAGUGGCUUGUAUUACUGGUCUAGACUCACCUGAUGAACAACAGAUCCUUAAGGUUUCAUAGUCAUUUUACUAGAUGAGUUACUCAGGAAAAAUGAGACUUGGAGAUAAGUGUAUAACUUACAAGCUGAAGAAGGGACUAGGAAGAGUCAAGAAUGCGCAUGAAGUGGUGUGUGCAUGAGGCAGUCGGGUGAGGUUGGCAGUACUGUACAAGGUAAACAACACUGAUUUGUAGGCAGUAUGAGGUACAGGACACUUGUUGUAUAAUGUUAUUACUAUUUACACGACUAUUUACAGUUAAUAUUACUGCUUCCAGUAAUUAAUCAUGAUCACAAAUCUGUUGAUGGUCAAGAGUCUCCUACUACACUUGGGGUUGGGUAGAACAUGUGGUGAGGUGUGCCAAGUUGAAGAGCGAGAUCCCUACAUCACAAAAGCUGAGAUGCUACUGAGAAGCUCACAUGUGAAAAAUAAAUGCCUACUUGGCAACAUAAUCUAGCCAGCCCCGUGUGCCGAUUCAGACAGUACUUUAUCAUGAAAUUACAAUACAGGGGUCCUCAUUAUCUGAGGUUAUUAGGGACUGGAAAAUCACUAGGAAUUUCUGGCCAAGAUAUAAUGAAAAUAGGGUCUGAAUGGGACCAUAAGAUAAUAAAUGACUCAAAAUGAUUACUUUUAUACCUUUUAUCAUCUAUACUCUGGAAUUGCAAGAGCAUGCAAUAUGUCUAUCAUCACACCACUUUUCUUCUGACAAAUAAUGUCUAAUUCACAUUCAAUCCAUAGCUACUAUGCUUCCUUUAAGGAACAGCAUUUAGUUUAGCACUAUGCUUUGAACUCAUGGCUAAAAACAAUAGCAAUAUUUCAAGACUGCACGCAAAAAACAAUAAAAAACCGCAUGAGAUUAGACACUGUCUACGGUGUGCAGUUACCCAGCUGACUCGAAGUGUCCAAGACACAUGCAUGCCAUGAAGUCACAUAAGGGGAAGGGAGCAUGGGCCGGGUGGGUCCCACUGGGUGGCAAGUGGGCAAUGCAGGGUCUCAAUUGUUUCUCUUACUUUGAGGACACAGCAUACAU